rnacentral:tRNA from 1 species
CAUUAGAUGGCUGAAAGUAAGUACUGGUCUCUUAAACCACUAUAUAAUAAAUUAACAACUAUUUCUAAUGA